rnacentral:rRNA from 1 species
GACGAACGCUGGCGGCAUGCCUAAUACAUGCAAGUCGAACGCUGAAGCACUCUGCUUGCAGAGUGCGGAUGAGUGGCGAACGGGUGAGUAACACGUGGGAAAUCUGCCUAUAAGAGGGGGAUAACAUUCGGAAACGGAUGCUAAUACCGCAUAUAUUCUUGGACCGCCUGGUCCUUGAAAGAAAGACGGCUUUGCUGUCGCUUAUAGAUGAUCCCGCGGCGUAUUAGUUAGUUGGUGGGGUAAAGGCCUACCAAGACAAUGAUACGUAGCCGACCUGAGAGGGUGAUCGGCCACACUGCGACUGAGACACGGCCCAGACUCCUACGGGAGGCAGCAGUAGGGAAUCUUCCACAAUGGGCGAAAGCCUGAUGGAGCAAUGCCGCGUGAAUGAAGAAGGUCUUCGGAUCGUAAAGUUCUGUUAUUAGAGAAGAACAAGUCAAGGAGUAACUGUCUUGACUUUGACGGUACCUAACCAGAAAGUCACGGCUAACUACGUG